UAAAGCUGAUCUGCUCUGGGUAAGUCGGGGCCUAAGGCGAGGUCGAAAGACGUAGUCGAUGGAUAACAGGUUGAAAUUCCUGUACUAUCCUGUAACAGAACUGUGGGGACACAGGCAGAGAGCGUGAGCCGGGAAUGGAAAGACCGGUACAAGCGAGGUAGGAGUCUGGUUGGCAAAUCCGCCAGGCAAUCCGAAGACGUGAUGUGGACUGAAAAUAAGUAGGGAAGCACGUGAGCUGACUGUCAAGAAAAGCCGCUAUUGUUUGCAGGAUACCCGUACCGUAAACCGACACAGGUGGAUGAGGAGAGAAUCCUAAGGCCGACGGGAGAAGCAUUGUUAAGGAACUCGGCAAAAUGACUCCGUAACUUCGGGAGAAGGAGUGCCAGUAAGAUGGCCGCAGAGAAUUGGCCCAAGCAACUGUUUAGCAAAAACACAGGUCUAUGCAAAACCGAAAGGUGAGGUAUAUGGGCUGACGCCUGCCCGGUGCUGGAAGGUUAAGGGGAGAGGUUAGCGCAAGCGAAGCUUUGAACUUAAGCCCCAGUAAACGGCGGCCGUAACUAUAACGGUCCUAAGGUAGCGAAAUUCCUUGUCGGGUAAGUUCCGACCCGCACGAAAGGCGUAAUGAUUUGGGCACUGUCUCAACAAUGCACCCGGUGAAAUUGAAAUACCAGUGAAGAUGCUGGUUACCUGCGCCAGGACGGAAAGACCCCAUGGAGCUUUACUCCAGCUUGAUACUGGGAUUCGGUAUUGCAUGUACAGGAUAGGUGGGAGGCUAGGAAAUGGUAACGCCAGUUGCCAUGGAGCCAAUGUUGGGAUACCACCCUUGCAGUACUGGGUUUCUAACCAGCAGCCGUGAUCCGGCUGGGGGACAAUGUCAGGUGGGGAGUUUGACUGGGGCGGUCGCCUCCGAAAGGGUAUCGGAGGCGCUCAAAGGUUCCCUCAGAAUGGUUGGAAACCAUUCGAAGAGUGCAAAGGCAGAAGGGAGCUUGACUGCGACACCGACGG
rnacentral:rRNA from 1 species